rnacentral:rRNA from 1 species
GAUGUCAACUAGCCGUUGGGUCCCUUGAGGACUUAGUGGCGCAGCUAACGCAAUAAGUUGACCGCCUGGGGAGUACGGCCGCAAGGUUAAAACUCAAAUGAAUUGACGGGGGCCCGCACAAGCGGUGGAGCAUGUGGUUUAAUUCGAUGCAACGCGAAGAACCUUACCUACCCUUGACAUCCAGAGGACUUUCCAGAGAUGGAUUGGUGCCUUCGGGAACUCUGAGACAGGUGCUGCAUGGCUGUCGUCAGCUCGUGUUGUGAAAUGUUGGGUUAAGUCCCGUAACGAGCGCAACCCCUAUCCUUAUUUGCCAGCGAGUAAUGUCGGGAACUCUAAGGAGACUGCCGGUGACAAACCGGAGGAAGGUGGGGACGACGUCAAGUCAUCAUGGCCCUUACGGGUAGGGCUA